rnacentral:rRNA from 1 species
AGCAGCCGCGGUAAUUCCAGCUCCAAUAGCGUAUAUUAAAGUUGUUGCAGUUAAAAAGCUCGUAGUUGAAUUUCGGAGUUUGUCGGUUGGUCGGGCUUCACUGUCCGCACUGACCUGAUGGAUUCCUACCUUCUGAAUAACCAGCAUGCUAUUAAGUUAGUGCGUUGGGGAAGCAGAGCUAUUACCUUGAAAAAAUUAGAGUGCUUAAAGCAGGCUUAUGCUUGAAUAGAUUAGCAUGGAAUAAUAAAAUAGGACGGCAUGGUUCUAUUUUGUUGGUUUCCUAGGAUCACCGUAAUGAUUAAUAGGGAUAGUUGGGGGCAUUAGUAUUCAAUUGUCAGAGGUGAAAUUCUUGGAUUUAUUGAAGACUAACUUCUGCGAAAGCAUUUGCCAAGGAUGUUUUCAUUAAUCAAGAA